UACGGGGGGGAGCAAGCGUUGUUCGGAUUUACUGGGCGUAAAGGGCGCGUAGGCGAUCGUGACAAGUCACUUGUGAAAUCUCCGGGCUUAACUCGGAACGGUCAAGUGAUACUGUCGGACUAGAGUACAGAAGGGGCAACUGGAAUUCUCGGUGUAGCGGUGAAAUGCGUAGAUAUCGAGAGGAACACCUGCGGCGAAGGCGGGUUGCUGGGCUGACACUGACGCUGAGGCGCGAAAGCUAGGGGAGCGAACGGGG
rnacentral:rRNA from 1 species